rnacentral:tRNA from 7 species
GGUCCGAUGGCCGAGCGGUUAGGCGAAGGUCUGCAAAACCUUUUACAACAGUUCAACUCUGUUUCGGACCU